rnacentral:rRNA from 1 species
GCAUAUCAAUAAGCGGAGGAAAAGAAACCAACAGGGAUUGCCUUAGUAACGGCGAGUGAAGCGGCAACAGCUCAAAUUUGAAAGCUGGCCCUUUCAGGGUCCGCAUUGUAAUUUGUAGAGGAUGAUUCGGCGAGGGCUCCCGCCUAAGUCCCCUGGAACGGGGCGUCAUAGAGGGUGAGAAUCCCGUAUGCGGUGGGCUGCCUUAGCCAUGUGAAUCUCCUUCGACGAGUCGAGUUGUUUGGGAAUGCAGCUCUAAAUGGGAGGUAAAUUUCUUCUAAAGCUAAAUACCGGCCAGAGACCGAUAGCGCACAAGUAGAGUGAUCGAAAGAUGAAAAGCACUUUGGAAAGAGAGUUAAAAAGUACGUGAAAUUGUUGAAAGGGAAGCGCUUGCAACCAGACUUGUCCGCAGUUGCUCAGCCGGUCUCCUGACCGGCGUACUCUUCUGCGGCCAGGCCAGCAUCAGUUCGGGCGGUCGGAUAAAGACCUCGGGAAUGUAGCUCCUCUCGGGGAGUGUUAUAGCCCGGGGUGGAAUGCGGCCAGCCUGGACUGAGGAUCUCGCUUCGGCAAGGAUGCUGGCGUAAUGGUUGUAAGCGGCCCGUCUUGAAACACGGACCAAGGAGUCUAACAUCUAUGCGAGUGUUUGGGUGUCAAACCCAUACGCGUAAUGAAAGUGAACGGAGGUGGGAACCCGCAAGGGUGCACCAUCGGCCGAUCCUGAUGUCUUCGGAUGGAUUUGAGCAAGAGCAUAGCUGUUGGGACCCGAAAGAUGGUGAACUAUGCCUGAAUAGGGUGAAGCCAGAGGAAACUCUGGUGGAGGCUCGCAGCGGUUCUGACGUGCAAAUCGAUCGUCAAAUUUGGGUAUAGGGGCGAAAGACUAAUCGAACCAUCUAGUAGCUGGUUCCUGC